rnacentral:rRNA from 1 species
UCCGGCGGGAAGCUGGGGGGUCCACCCUCCAAGGCUAAAUACACUUGGCGACCGACAGUGAACAAGUACCGUGAGGGAAAGGUGAAAAGUACCCCGUUGAGGGGAGUGAAAUAGAACCUGAAACCGUAAGCCUACAAGCAGUUGGAGGGCUAAUGGCGUGUUGGUGCUCUGCAGAGAUGCAGGUGCGCAGCGCUAGGCCUGACAGCGUGCCUCUUGGAGAAUGAGCCUGCGAGUUAAUCUUUGUAGCGAGGUUAAGGGAGAGACACCCGAAGCCGUAGCGAAAGCGAGUCUGAAAAGGGCGACGAGUUGCAAGGAUUAGACACGAAACCGGGUGAGCUACCCAUGGCCAGGGUGAAACGUGUGUAAAAGCACGUGAAGGCCCGAACCUACUAAUGUUACAAAAUUAGGGGAUGAGCUGUGGGUAGAGGUGAUAUGCCAAACGAACUCGGAGAUAGCUUGUUCUCCCCGAAAUAGCUAUAGGGCUAGCGCCAUCUGUUAAACUACGGAGGUAGAGCACUGAAUGAGCUAAGGGGCUUAGAGCUUACUGAACUCAAUCAAACUCCGAAUGCCGUAGUUAUAGAGGAUGGUAGUCGGACUACGGGUGAUGAGAUUCGUGGUCAAAAGGGAAACAGCCCAGACCAUCGGCUAAGGUCCCCAAAUUCAAGCUAAGUGGGAAACGAUGUGGAGUUACUGAAACAACCAGGAGGUUGGCUUAGAAGCAGCCACCCUUCAAAGAGUGCGUAAUAGCUCACUGGUCUAGUGAUUCUGCGCGGAAAACUUAACGGGGCUAAGCUUGAUACCGAAGCCAUGGGAUUCUUCUUAGGAAGGAUCGGUAGGGGAGCGUUCCGCCAGCGGAGAAGGCAUACCGUGAGGAGUGCUGGAGUGGGCGGAAGUGAGAAUGCAGGCAUGAGUAGCGUAAAACACGUGAGAACCGUGUUCACCGAAAAUCUAAGGUUUCCGACGCCAGGUCAAUCCGCGUCGGGUUAGUCAGGUCCUUAGGCGAGGCCGAAAGGCGUAGCUGAUGGCAACCCGGUCAACAUUCCGGGACCACUUGAUUGGAGCGAAGAGGGGACGCAGGGAGGCAGGCCGGCCCGCGAUUGGUGGUGCGGGUGCAUGGUACGGCAGGCGAUGAGACCGGUAGGCAAAUCCGCCGGUUGAGCUGAGGUACCGUGGCGAGCCCCAGAGGCAUAAGCGAGUUGAGCCUCACUGCCGAGAAAAGCCUCUAAGUGAUGAAGAUCGAGUGCCUGUACCGCAAACCGACACCGGUAGAUGGGUAGAGAAUACCAAGGUGAACGGGAGAACCUUCGUUAAGGAACUAGGCAACAUAGCCCCGUAACUUCGGGAGAAGGGGUGCCUUCCCUUGUGAUGAAAAGAGCGAGGGGAGGUCGCAGCGAAGCGGCUCUAGUGACUGGUUAACAAAACCACAGGUCUCUGCGAAGUCGAAAGACGACGUAUAGGGGCUGACGCCUGCCCAGUGCCGGAAGGUUAAGGGGAAGGGUUAGCGCAAGCGAAGCUCAGAACCGAAGCCCCGGUGAACGGCGGCCGUAACUAUAACGGUCCUAAGGUAGCGAAAUUCCUUGUCGGGUAAGUUCCGACCCGCACGAA